ACACCGAGGCCCCGCCUCCCACGUGCGGGCGCUCCUCUCCUAGAGCUCACUGGUCUUUCCAGAAGUCCUCAAGUUUCAUGCGACCAGCAGUGAACUUUACUGGGUAGGGGUGGGAAGCCGGUGGCUCCGGACAGUCGUGAUAACCCGGCACAGAAGCAGAGUCGCAUUUCGGAGCGUCCACUCGUAACGCGGCUUCUCGCACACGGAGCCCGUAGUCCAGGGGAGAGGAGGCCAGGGAGGCCCUGGAGAGGUUGUAGGUACAGGAUGAUCGGCAGUGGAGACCCUGUCGGGCUCAGGAAGGCACUGUUCUUUCAUCAUUUCCUUCCCAGCAUGCACUUGUACAUGCUGUACACUCCACUCUCUUCAUUACCACAACAGGACUACAAAAUCUUUAGAGGAUGAACAGCCAAACAAGGUGACUUACCGCCUGCCAGGAGAGCUUAUUAAAGGAUUUCAUUUCUUGGGCAUCCAGGUUGGGACAUCUUCUGGAUAUAUGCCCAGGAGAGGUGUUGCUGGAUCCUCCAGUAGUACUAUGUCCAAUUUUCUGAAGAACCGCCAGACUGAUUUCCAGAGUGGUUGUACAAGCUUGCAAUCCCACCAACAAUUUAGGAGCGUUCCUCUUUCUCCACACCCUCGCCAGCAUCUACUGUCACCUGAAUUUUUGAUCUUAGCCAUUCUGAAUGGUGUGAGGUGUAAUCUCAGGGUUGUUUUGAUUUGCAUUUCCCUGAUGACUAAGGAUGUUGAACAUUUUUUCAGGUGCUUCUCUGCCAUUCAAUAUUCCUCAGGUGAGAAUUCUUUGUUCAGUUCUGAUCACCAUUUUUAGUGGGGUUAUUUGAUUUUAUGGAGUCCACCUUCUUGAGUUCUUUAUAUAUAUUGGAUAUUAGUCCCCUAUCCGAUUUGGAAUAAGUAAAGAUCCUUUCCCAA